GAGGUCCGAAAUUGCCGCGAAACACAACAUUUACUCUCUCUCACCGAGACUUCUGUUGAAGUUUGAUUAUUAAAGAGGAAGAACAUGGAGUCUGUGAACUUGGAGAUGGAUGAGAUUUUUGAGGAGGACGAGGAUUUCCCCACCGUAGGGGCACUGCCGGACUUACCCCAGGACAAUGAGGGGAUGGAGGAGAUGGGCCAGGGGGAGGACCAGGAUGAUAACAGUGCUGAAGUUUUAUCCAGAUUAAAGGAUUUGUCAAAAGGAGCAGCUAAGAAGGUGGUCCGCAGACCCCAACCCAAGCUGGACGCCACCAGACUGACUGGUGAGAGAGGAAUACCUAUUUUACCUAAGGUUUUCCAGGAUGUCAAGUUCAAAGGGAAAGGACAUGAGGCGAGGGACCUACAGAUCAUCAUGCGAUACUUGGAGCACUGGGCUCACCGCCUGUUCCCUAAGAUGCCAUUCGAUGAAGUAUUGGAGCGAAUUGAGAAGCUGGGCACAAAAAAUGAAGUCAAAACUUGCAUAAAGAGAAUGCGACUUGAUAUGCCCAUUCUGAAUGAUGAGUUUGUGGGAGAUGAUGAGGAGAGGGAAGAGGACAUCCCAGGGUCAGAGGUCAGUACAUGUAGUUUCAAUUUUAGAAAUUUAUUCCUGCAGUGAGUUUGUUGGUCCUAGAAACUAGGGACAUAAGGACAUAAAUUGUAAUGGUUUAAGAAAUAUGGAUUUGUAUUCAUUGAUAUAUUACUUGUUUGAAACAAUUACAUCUGGUAAAAUUUAGGCUAUUGAUUCUGAUGCUGAAGAAGCUUUGGAGGAGCUGGGGAAUGAGUCUCCCACACAGCGUAAUGGGGCCAGCCCCCCAUCCUCCCAGGAAUCCUCAAAGUCUGGUGGAAUGCUAGCGGCCCAGCUGUCACAGCCUCUGUCCUCCACCCCCUCAACAUCCGGCAAUCUCACCCCAGGGUUCAGCAGCCCGGGGUUAUCUCAGGGUCUUACUCCAGAGCAGAGAGAGAGGUUAGAGAGAAAUCGGCAGAUGGCAUUGGAAAAGAGAGCUAACAAAGGUGGGGGAGGGGGAUCUCAACAUGUGUUCAAGACUCCAGCUAUUCCAAAGUCCCCUGUACGGCGCCUGGCCUCACACACAGUUUCUAGUCCCUCACAAAUAUCCUCCCCCAUUCUACAGUCACCUCCAAAAAUGUGCAGCCAUGGAAACAUUCCCAUCAAUAAUACUGGUAACCAACCCACCUUUCACAGCCUGGUGACGGCCAACAACGGUUCAAGUUCCCCGGUGAAACCCGCAGGCAGCAAUCUCACAAACGGCAGUCUUCAGAGUCAUCCAAUCGGGGAAUCCGUCUCAUCUCAAGACAAUGAGAUGAGUGAAGUGAUCCCAUUGGUCAAUGGAAAUAAAACUGUAGACAAUUGUUCUGACAGCUCAGACAUGAGCCAGACCAUUCCACUUUUGUGUAGUCCAGGGAGAAAGACAGGGGAGACAAAAGAUUAUAAAUCAAGGUCAGGGAGUAUGGACAUUUCAUCCAGUGAUCAGAUGUCAGAGGAAGAACUUCUUCUACAUUUGUCGGAAAGUGAAUGAUGUCUUGAUGUUGUAAAUAUUUUUUAAAGAUGAACUACAAUAAGUGGAAUGUAAAUUUAGAAUGUUAACAUUUAUAGUCAUCCUUUGUUAACUGGCAGGGUACCAAUAUGAUAUUCUAUGAUAGUCAAUAAAACAUUACUAUUGUCAUAAUGUAACUAAGUAUAUCUACCUUGGCUAGUUGUGUGUUUGAUUGUGCCUUUAAAUAUUAGUUUUUUUCUUUGUCAGAAAAUCAUUAUAUUGCAUGAGUUAACACAAAUGUUUGAAGCUCUGUAAGAAAAUCCUUAUAUUGCAAGAGUUAACAAAAAUGUUGGAAGAGGGACAUCACCCAUUGUCUUUGCCAUGACCAUGAUAUUGUUUUAGACACCGGCAUGUUAAAAUCUCAAAGUACUUAAUGUAGUACAUGCAAUAGGGCAAUAGUAUUAAAAAAAUACUGUCAUUGAAUACUGUUAUUAUGACAAUCUCUAUUGGUAAUGUUUGUUAAUACAUUUCAUAGAUUGCAACAUCAUACUGUCAUGAAAAUAACCUAAUCAUGUGUAACAUUGGAUGUUAUUACCAAGGUACAUAUUCCUACUGUAAAUGUCUGCAGUGAGAAGUAGUAAGUCUUUAAAUCCCCAAAGUUGUUAAAUAAGAAGUUCAGAUUUAGCCAAGAUAAUGCUUCGUCAGCAUCAGUGGUCGAAGUGGGAAAGUAUUUAGAAUGUUUUAUUUCAAAACUGUAAAGUUAGUGCCAUUGAAUUUAAAAUAUGUAAAAUAUUCUAAUGAACUUGACUACAGAUAUAUAUAUUGUAUAUUGAAGGAAGAAGCAUGCAUUGUAUAAAAUGUCUACAAUUUUGAGAUAUACUUUACUUUUCAUUAUUUAAAUAUGGACAAGUUGGGUUACACUAGUGCUUUACUCUAUGAUAGGAAAACUUAUCAACCAUGAAAAGAAUGAUUUUUGUACUAUUUAUAUUUUUGUGUGGAAAAAAAAUAAAUGAAUUUCUGUCA
rnacentral:misc_RNA from 1 species